rnacentral:misc_RNA from 1 species
UACGGAGGGUGCAAGCGUUAAUCGGAAUUACUGGGCGUAAAGCGCGCGUAGGCGGCGACAUAAGUUGGAGGUGAAAUCCCCGGGCUCAACCUGGGAACUGCUUUCAAAACUGUGUGGCUAGAGUACGGUAGAGGUGAGUGGAAUUUCCUGUGUAGCGGUGAAAUGCGUAGAUAUAGGAAGGAACACCAGUGGCGAAGGCGGCUCACUGGACUGAUGCUGACGCUGAGGUGCGAAAGCGUGGGGAGCAAACAGG